CCCCCCCCGGGGAAAUGGAGGAGAUCCCAAGGCCUCAGACCUGUCCCCAGGGAGUCCCUUUCAGAGAUGAACCAGGGCUCGGAUUGUUUGAUGACUGAGCGUCUAAACAGAUCAUUCUCCGGCUGGGACUGUGGCUGUCUUGACACCCCAGACCCUGUUAAAAGUACCCACCUCCCGUAUCAGCUAGGCCCACCUGUGACAAGCCCCUCUCUCCUUUUCCCCUUGGUCGUGACCAGGUCAGAAAUUUUCUGGAGAGCCUUCUCUGGGCCUCCUGAUUUGGCCACUCACUGGUGACUCACUUGCCCUGUGAGCCUGUCUUCCCAUUCAGCAAUGCGGGACAUGAGGGUUGGGGGGGGGGGGCGGGGGCUGGGGGAGACAUCCCAGUAGGGUCUUGGGUGUGGAAGCCCCCACUCUCCGUAGCCUGAAGUUGGGGGGUCAGACAAAGAUGGGGACCCCGGCAUAUGUGCUCGGUUAGAGGGAAGCCCCAGAGGCUGCUGCUGUGGGUCCUGAGAGGGACCUGGAAACUUGUCUGCCUAUCCAGAUACAGAUGGGGACACUGAGGCCUGACCUGGCCUGUGACAUGCUCAAGGUCACGGUGAACGAGCAUCCUUAAAGGCCGGGGGUGUUCAGGGAUACCAUGGAGACUUGUUCACACUUCCCUGGAAAAUGAGACAAACCGUGAUCUUUUAAAACCCAGCUACAUAAUCUGAUUAUUCCUCGCUGGCAAGCCUCAGAGAAGAGCCGUGCAUCGGGAAAUUGGGCCGGGAAAGUUUGCCUCCUGCGCCAGAUUCGAAGCUCCUCGGUGCAUGAUGGGCUCAGGAUAAAGUGCCACUUUCUUAGAUAUUGGCACAAAUUAAAAAUAAAGAUAAAAUCCCUCCCAUAA